rnacentral:rRNA from 1 species
GACGAACGCUGGCGGCGUGCUUAACACAUGCAAGUCGAACGAGGGGCGAACGGGUGAGUAAUACGUGGGUAACCGGCCCUCUUUUGGGGAUAAGACUGGGAAACGGGGUCUAAUACCGAAUAAAGGGGGAGGGGCUCGCGGCGUAUCAGCUUGUUGGUGGGGUGAUGGCCUACCAAGGCGGUGAAGGGUAGCCGGCCUGAGAGGGUGACCGGCCACAUUGGGACUGAGACACGGCCCAGACUCCUACGGGAGGCAGCAGUGGGGAAUAUUGCACAAUGGGCGCAAGCCUGAUGCAGCCAUGCCGCGUGUAUGAAGAAGGCCCUAGGGUUGUAAAGUACUUUCAGUCUGGAGGCGUUACCGACAGAAGAAGCACCGGCUAACUCCGUGCCAGCAGCCGCGGUAAUUC